UUUCUCGUUAUGGUUUUCGAGACGGGUGAAUAAAGUUACCCAAGAGAAACUGCGUAAUCGAUAACCCGCUAAACUUGUCGGCUUCUCGCAACCAAAUCUCUCUCUGUGUUUCAUUCAUUCGAACAGAAUCUCGCGUUCUGAAGUUCUGAAACCAUCUCGUUAAGGAUUCCCGAUUUCGUUGUCCUGACGAAUUCAACGCCUGAGGAAGAGAAGAGAAGCAGAGAACAUGAACAUCUUCAGCAGGAAACCGAACCCUAGAGGA